AGUUUUGUGGUCUAAUGGUUAUGAUUUCUCGUUCACAGCUGUGAGCACUGUUUCCCGAGAAGGUUCGGAGUUCGAUCCUCCGCAAAACUA
rnacentral:tRNA from 1 species